rnacentral:rRNA from 1 species
AGUGAACGCUGGCGGUAGGCCUAACACAUGCAAGUCGAACGGCAGCACAGUAAUAGCUUGCUCUUACGGGUGGCGAGUGGCGGACGGGUGAGGAAUACAUCGCAAUCUACUUUUUCGUGGGUGAUAACGUAGGGAAACUUACGCUAAUACCGCAUACGACCUACGGGUGAAAGCAGGGGAUCUUCGGACCUUGCGCGAUUGAAUGAGCCGAUGUCGGAUUAGCUAGUUGGCGGGGUAAAGGCCCACCAAGGCGACGAUCCGUAGCUGGUCUGAGAGGAUGAUCAGCCACACUGGAACUGAGACACGGUCCAGACUCCUACGGGAGGCAGCAGUGGGGAAUAUUGGACAAUGGGCGCAAGCCUGAUCCAGCCAUACCGCGUGGGUGAAGAAGGCCUUCGGGUUGUAAAGCACUUUUGUUGGGAAAGAAAAGCAGCAGGUUAAUACCCCGCUGUUCUGACGGUACCCAAAGAAUAAGCACCGGCUAACUUCGUG